GCCAGGUGAGGUGGCUCACGCCUGUAAUCCCAGCACCUUGGGAGGCUGAGGUGGGUGGAUCACCUGAGGUCAGGAGUUUGAGACCAGCCUGGCCAACAUGGUGAAAACCCAUCUCUG
rnacentral:SRP_RNA from 1 species